rnacentral:misc_RNA from 1 species
AAGUCGUAACAAGGUUUCCGUAGGUGAACCUGCGGAAGGAUCAUUACCGAGUGAGGGCCCUCUGGGUCCAACCUCCCACCCGUGUUUAUUUUACCUUGUUGCUUCGGCGGGCCCGCCUUUACUGGCCGCCGGGGGGCUCACGCCCCCGGGCCCGCGCCCGCCGAAGACACCCUCGAACUCUGUCUGAAGAUUGAAGUCUGAGUGAAAAUAUAAAUUAUUUAAAACUUUCAACAACGGAUCUCUUGGUUCCGGCAUCGAUGAAGAACGCAGCGAAAUGCGAUACGUAAUGUGAAUUGCAAAUUCAGUGAAUCAUCGAGUCUUUGAACGCACAUUGCGCCCCCUGGUAUUCCGGGGGGCAUGCCUGUCCGAGCGUCAUUGCUGCCCUCAAGCCCGGCUUGUGUGUUGGGCCCCGUCCUCCGAUUCCGGGGGACGGGCCCGAAAGGCAGCGGCGGCACCGCGUCCGGUCCUCGAGCGUAUGGGGCUUUGUCACCCGCUCUGUAGGCCCGGCCGGCGCUUGCCGAUCAACCCAAAUUUUUAUCCAGGUUGACCUCGGAUCAGGUAGGGAUACCCGCUGAACCUAAGCAUAUCA